UACGUAGGGUGCGAGCGUUAAUCGGAAUUACUGGGCGUAAAGCGUGCGCAGGCGGUUUUGUAAGCCAGGUGUGAAAUCCCCGGGCUCAACCUGGGAAUGGCAUUUGGGACUGCAAGGCUGGAGUGCGGCAGAGGAGACUGGAAUUCCUGGUGUAGCAGUGAAAUGCGUAGAUAUCAGGAGGAAUACCGAUGGCGAAGGCAGGUCUCUGGGCUGACACUGGCGCUCAUGCACGAAAGCGUGGGGAGCAAACAGG
rnacentral:rRNA from 1 species